UUUAAUUCGAAGCAACGCGAAGAACCUACCAGGUCUUGACAUCCCUUGCUAAUCCUAGAAAUAGGACGUUCCCUUCGGGGACAAGGUGACAGGUGGUGCAUGGUUGUCGUCAGCUCGUGUCGUGAGAUGUUGGGUUAAGUCCCGCAACGAGCGCAACCCUUAUUAUUAGUUGCCAGCAUUCAGUUGGGCACUCUAGUGAGACUGCCGGUGACAAACCGGAGGAAGGUGGGGAUGACGUCAAAUCAUCAUGCCCCUUAUGACCUGGGCUACACACGUGCUACAAUGGCAUAUACAACGAGUCGCCAACCCGCGAGGGUGCGCUAAUCUCUUAAAGUAUGUCUCAGUUCGGAUUGUAGGCUGCAACUCGCCUACAUGAAGUCGGAAUCGCUAGUAAUCGCGGAUCAGCACGCCG
rnacentral:rRNA from 1 species